ACGCGGGGCGGCUGCAUGCUCUGGGCUCCCUGCGUUGCUAGAACGCUGUGGAUGACGCAGGGAAGGAGGCUGGCCCCGCUAUCAGGGAGAUUAUGUCCUAGUGGGGUCCCCACAGGCCAUUAACUGUUGGAUAUGACAAGAAUGACCCAAUUCGUAUGAUCAGCUUUCAGAAUGGAUGAAGAUCUUUCACGGAGGGUGACUUCAAUUUAUCUCCAGCCUCAUCUGAUGUCUCUAUGUCCCACGCAUUGCUAUCUGCACACACUAAGUUCUUGCUUCCUAGCCUUUGCUUGUUAUCUCCCUCUUCUGGAUUUUUUUUCCUAAAUACUUUUUCUCCUGCCUAAUCCUGAAUUAACUUAAUAACAUUCCAUUCAAACUUCAUCUUCUCUGAAAGCCUUUCCUGAUUCCAGCCCCCUCCCCACCCCCCACUAUGCUCCCUUUGCUCCCUAUUGGUCGCUAGCUUUAUCCCUAACUUUGCAUUUGUCACCCUUUGAUUGCCAGUUUGUAGUUUUCCUUAAACACUGCGAGGUCUUUAAUGGCAGGAAGUGGGUCCUCUUUAUCUUUGUUUAUCCAAGACCCUAAUAGGGUCUGGCAUCCAAUAAACGUCAUUGAUUGAUAAA